GUUCACUGGAGUAUUUUGCCAAGUCCAGGCAAUAAACAGUGUGAAAACCUAGAGGCAAACAUAGGUGCCUUUUAGUACUUGUAACACUGAAAAGCUGCCCACCUAAAGUUUGUGUUGUUUUUUUAUUCUAUAAAACUCUCCAGGUGGUAGAGAGAGGUUAAAUGAUCUUUUACCACUUCUAACAGCAACCACCUCCUGGUCCGCAGCUGCUCUGUGGGCACCACCCACAGUCUCAGACAAAAACAUAGCUUCACUCCACCUUGUAUCUGACUCCAGCAGCUGAGCACUAAUAGGAAAUCUGAUUGUCCCCAUCUAAAACUGAAGCCAUGGGCCUGACCAGUGACCAGAGGUGGUGAAGCUGGACGGCAGGACUCAGCCUCCCGGCUGUAUCCAUCACCUCAGGGAGAAGGUUCUUCCUCUGCUUCAGGAGGCAACAGGAGAGCUUUCUGUCACUCAGUCAUAAGGAACACAAGCUGCCUUUACAGGCUAGGUGUCUGGAAUGUGUGAGUAGUCUGAGGUCUUCUUUCUACUGCCAAGAAGCUCCAAGGAAAAAGGUGAAUGAAACAUCCCAAGUGAAGGCUCUUGUUAUAAGGAAAAGGACCCUUGUAGUAGUGAUUAUAUGUUCCCAGGCUGGAGAGUGGGAGUUAAUGUCACUUGGACUAAGUGGAAUUCAAUAUCUACCUCUUUUUCAAGUCAACAGAAGUCUUGGGUCUAACUUUACUGUCCACCAGACACCAAUUCCAUUUUUUAUUUAUGUGUGUUGUUGAAAAUGUAAAAAGUAAAGGGAAUUGAAUAGGGAUUAUGUAGAGACUUUGAAAGCAUUGUAAGGAAUAGUUGUAAUUGUAUGCAUCUGAAGUAAUGGUUGAUUUGGUGCUUGUAUGUGCCUUUAGAGCAUAUAGUUACUAAGCAUGCAAUUGUAUUAAAUUCUCAACAAUUUAUCUUGGAUCUGACUAUAGUGUUUGCAUGAAAACAGCAUGAUUACAGAGAUGUAAACUUAGACUACAUUAAAUAAAAGUGAGAAAUAAAGCCCACUAUAAAAAAUAAAGGUGUUCUUGCAUAAUCAUAAAUUCAGAAUUGUUAUGUAAAGGUAGCCAACUGUUUAUACUUUGGCUUAUCAGCUUUAUGUAAAUUAUAUAUCAAAUAUUCUUCCUCUAUAUUAUUGUCAAAAAUAACUUCUUUGUGUGCCCAUAAUAAAUGCUACUGUUUGAGAGUGCUGCUACAUUAAACCAAAAUAGCUUCUGCUAAUCAACUGCAUUGAACAUGCACAAGUUAGAAGGCUAAUUAAAGUUAUGAUGAACUUUGAGAGAGGAUUUUUACAUCACAAAAAGGCUGUGACACUGAA